UCUGGUAGUUCUGCUGACUUGCGAUGUCCCCGUGCUUUCGGUUGUCCUGCUUCGUGGUCAUGGCAGCCUGAGUGACACUGUGUUACUGGCUAGCAGGAACGUUCUUACUCCUGGCUUUCCGCGGUGACGUGCCUCCUGAGAAAGCGAAGCCUGCGUAUGUCUCUGUGUUGGCUGCUGUGGGGACUCACGUGCCUGGAGUCCCUAUAAGGAACUGAGCGCCAAAAUCUAGCAGCGUUCAGUUUGUGACAGAACAGGAAGAGGUCAAGAGAAAUGGGAAACUAAGACAAUGUGAAUAAAACCCAAAGAAUUACCUUGGUGAAAGUCUAGACGAUAAUUUGUUUCUAAAAAUAAGGAUGAUCUAUCUCCAGGUAGCGGGCCCCAGGCAGUUCUAGAAACUGCAGGUCCUCUCCUGGCAGGGUGGGGUGGGAAUGGCGCUACCCGGCACCCCGAGCGCCACAGGGAUGACUUCCAAGGUGUGAGGGGCUUUAGUUAUGGGGCAAGGCUGGCGGAGAGGGAACACGGAGGCGUUUGGGGAGGAGGGAGGGCUUGUCGUGGUGCUGACCUUGACCAUCACCGCUCAGUGGCAGCACCUCCGCUGGCCAGCUACUUCAGGAGCAGGGUCACCACCAGCGUGCCAGCACUCCAGUAGCAGGUUGGAGUUUGACCCUUGCUUGGCGUGUUAAUUGGGUAGAGCCAGGACGCUUUCAGGGCGAGAGAGGGGCCGGGUGACUUGGUUCAGGGCGCUGGGGGAGCCUGCUGGAACUGGAGCACUGGCGCGCUGGUCAUGACCGUGCUCCUGAAGUAGCUGCUGACAUGCACUCCCGAGCAUCCACGUGGGUACCCUGUGUUCCGGACGGCUCCGGGGCCGCGCGGCAGAACCAUGCCUGGUCUCAGUGUGGCCCUGGAGAAAUCUUGCCCACCAUGAUUGUGCCAGCCACAGUGUGCUUCCCACCUAGCAGACAGCGGUGUGCCUGACACAGUUCUGGUGGGUUGUUCUAAGGAUUCUUGACUUUAUUGUAGGAAAAUCUAUGCUGCUGUGGCCGGUUUCCAUGCCCGAUACUGCGAGUCAGCAAACGUGAGCAAGCCUCUCCGGGGCCCCACCUCCCCGUCUCGCAAAUCCGUACAGUCGCUCCAAGCCACAGUAGAACACAGGCUGCAGUGACACCCCUUUGACUCACAACUUCCAAGCCCAGAUGAACUUGAAUUUUCGUUUUGGAGUCUUUCAAUAGUUGAACAUAUAUUUGGUGUUUUCCAAGUUUACCUCAAAACUUUCAAGAGCAACUUUUAAUAGCAAAAGGAGCGGAACUGGGGAAGUUUCACAGAAGAGACUAAGUAGGCUUGUGCGUGUUUUAAGUUGAAAAGCUCCAAAGGCCUUGCAGAGCUUCUCCUUCUCAGUGAGGCCUGGCGUGGGUUCCAUGUGUGGCCAGAGUGCCUGGCCCCUGACCUUUGACUGUAGUGAAUGGAAUGAGCGUUGGCAGGGGCAACUAGGACUCACUGCCCCUCUAGGACUCACUGGUGUGGGCGCUUCUGUCUCAGGAUCCUCUGGGCUCACAAAGUAAGCUGAGGUUCUGUUUGACCCUUGCGUGGCACGUUAAUUGGGUAGAGCUGGAUGCUUUCAGGGUAGGAGAGGUGCCAGGUGACUUGGUUCAGGGCGCUAAGGGAGCCUGCUGGAAACGAGCUGUGUGCCUCUGUCCAGGCGUGUGGGUACUGGGUCAGCAGGUGAGGAAGGAAUGCCGUUCCCUGCCACCCCUGCCAUCUGCAGGUGAGGCAGCUCUCCACAAAUCAUAGGAGAGUGUGAAUUUCCAGGGGUCUGACCUCCAAGUUGAGGUAGGAGCUAGAACAGGAUGGAAGGACGGCUUGCAUUUCCACCCGUGACAGUGUCUUGCUGCUGAUGUCAGCGUGGGGCAGAAGAAGCUGCGUUGCCACUCACUAAGUGGUGAUACCAAGGGAUCCCAUGGAUUGACUUUCGCGUGUUCAACUAGCCUCGCAUACUUGGAAUGAUCCUACUUGGGAUUGCUGGAUUCAACCUGGUUAUGCUUGGUUGUGAAUUUUUUUUGCAUCUAAAUUCAUAGGAGAUAUUUGUCUGCAGAUUUCUUCUUUUUGUGCUAUCUUUAUUUGAUUCUGGUAUCAAGGUCAUACAGCUGGAGAAGCCCAAUGCCUGGGACCAGAAAUAUUUCAGAUUUUGGAUGUUUACAGAUUUUGGAAUAUUAUAUACUUACUGUUUUAGCAUCCCUAAUCCAAAACUCUGAGAUCUGGAAUGCUUCAGUGAGAUUUCCUUUGAGUAUCAUGUUGGUGCUAAAAAAGUUUCAGAUUUUGGAGCACUUUGGGGUUCAGAUUUUCAGAUUAGGGAUACUCAGCCUGUUCCGGCUGCAUACAAUGAAUUGGGCAGUUCUUCCUCCUCUCUAUUUUCUGGAAGAGAUUGUGUAUAAUUUUUGUUAAUGCAUUUUUAGAUAUUUGGUAGAAUUUUCCAGUGAAACCAUCUGGGCCAAGGUGGGGUUCUUUUCUGGGAGCUUUCUCGUUAUGAAUUUAAUUUCUUUAAUGGUUGUGGAACCAUUUGGAUUGUCUGUUUCAUCUUGAUUGAGUUUUGAUGGUUUGUCGUUUCUGAGAAAUUGGUCCAUUUCUUUUAAGUUGUUAAGAGCGUAAAGUUCUCGGUAGUCCUCCUUUUUGUCUUUCAAUGGCUGCAGGGUCUGUGGUGAUUUCCCUGGUUUCCUUCCUGAAAUUGGUGAUUGGUGUCCUCUCUCUUUUUGUCUUUGUUCUCUUGCUAGAGGUUUAUCAAUUUUAUUGAUUUAUUUAUUUUUUUUUUCGAGGAGCAAGUUUUUGUCUCAUUGAUUUAUUUCCUUUUAUUUUCUCGUUUUCAGUCUCACUCACUCCGGGACCAUAUUUGUACACCUGCAGCCAAGCAUUAAAGAGACAUUCUAAGAAAGGGGCAGGGGUAGCAGGGAGGCUCCCUCACUAGGGGGGUUUGUGGAGGGGAGCCACACUGCCAGCACCAUUUCUAGGUCAGAAAGAGAAAGCACUGGGAAUGACAAGCAUUUUCUUUUCUUUUCAUUGUGGCAUCCUGGGCUAUGACACGCUCCCAUGUGCGUCACCUGUAAGUCCUCAGACCUUCGUGGGGUGGAACGGACACCCGGAUAGCCAAGGGAAUGAAGGAGCCAGGUCUGUUGUGCCAUCUCACAGAUGUUCACUCCGUUUCUCUUCCAGUUGGCUUCAGAUUUGGGAUGAAGCAGCCCUGUGGUCUUGGAAAUGCCAGAUGGACAUGUCUGGCCACAAUCUACUGACACUUACUUCCCCUGCCAGAGGCACGCUCCCCGGGUGACAGGAUCUCAUUGGCUGGGAUAUCAUUUCAGGUCACGCUCCCCGGGUGACAGGAUCUCAUUGGCUGGGAUAUCAUUUCAGGUCUACAUUUUUAAGGCAUUAGCAUAAUGAAGGACACUGUGUUGUGACAAUAGACUUCUGGCUGGACAGUAGCUGAGUUUGUUGCCUGUAAGUUCUUUCCCGUGAGGACAGGGUAUGUGGAGGUGCCUGGGACUGAACCCACAACCCUCGCAGGUUCUCAGCCCGCUGGUGUGAGUUGGUGGUGAUGAGCUCCGGAAAUUGCUGACCGUGGGUUCUGCCUGUCCUUCGGAAUGAGGCCAUCCCUGUGCUGUCCUUAGGGCCUGGGCUGCAGAGACUGAGUGCUUGGUCUCUUGAUUUGUCAGGGCGGGUGUGGUCUGGGGCAUCUGGAUGGGGCCCUGAGAUUCCAGAACUUCAUUGCUGAGCUUUAUUUCAGACACGACUGUUAGGAGACAUUGUUUUAGUUAAUGAAGCGUAUCUCAGAGAUCGUGUAGUAAAAUUGGCAGAUGAGG